AAUCUCCAUUCCUAUUAAUCAAAAACCGUGACUAAUGGCCUUCAAGGAGGCUGCCCGAGGCCAUAUUAGGAAUUAGGGUUAGUUUUUCGAAGAGAUUUGAAUGUAAGAGGCUAAGAUCGGAAAGUUCAGGUUUUUGGCUAUGGUUUUGGUAUAAAUUUUGUGUGAUUUGGAGUUUAUAUGAAAGAGAUAUGGGUGCUCAAAGUUAAGGUGUUGAUUUUG
rnacentral:lncRNA from 1 species